CAACGAGUAGUUUAUAAUAUUUAAGAAUAUUAAUUUUGGGUAUUAAAGGUAUAGAGUUUUUCUAUUUGGUUGA
rnacentral:tRNA from 1 species